ensembl:lncRNA
CCUGCCGAGUCUCAGCAAUGUAGAAGUCCUGGUCUUCCAGCUGGACAAAUACAUCCGCAUCACUCAGCAGAUCAUUGAGAAGAUGGAGGAAGGAUCCAGGAGUGUAUCUGGUUCUGGGGGUGUUCAUGAGUGGAAAGUGAAGAACGGAACAAGUUGAAGAUAUUGAAGUAAAGAGUUCCAGAAUUUGGGGGCCAUGACUCUACAUACACUGCAUACAAACAUAAAACAUCACAGAAUGUGAUCAGGGCCAGAGAGCUGAGAGACAGAUGAAAAGGGAGAGAAUUUGAAGAAGUGCCAAAAAGGUGUGAGGAUCCACAGGCUUGAAUUUGCAGGUGGAGAUAAGGGAUUUUGUGGAGUUUGUGAUCAGCAACACCAAUCAGACGCCCAG